rnacentral:rRNA from 1 species
GGCAGCACGAUGUAGCAAUACAUUGGUGGCGACCGGCGCACGGGUGAGUAACGCGUAUGGAACCUACCUAUCAGAGGGGAAUAACCCGGCGAAAGUCGGACUAAUACCGCAUAAAACAGGGGUUCCACAUGGAAAUAUUUGUUAAAGAAUUAUCGCUGAUAGAUGGGCAUGCGUUCCAUUAGAUAGUUGGUGAGGUAACGGCUCACCAAGUCCACGAUGGAUAGGGGUUCUGAGAGGAAGGUCCCCCACACUGGUACUGAGACACGGACCAGACUCCUACGGGAGGCAGCAGUGAGGAAUAUUGGUCAAUGGGCGAGAGCCUGAACCAGCCAAGUCGCGUGAAGGAUGAAGGAUCUAUGGUUUGUAAACUUCUUUUAUAUGGGAAUAAAGUGAGGAACGUGUUCCUUUUUGUAUGUACCAUAUGAAUAAGCAUCGGCUAACUCCGUGCCAGCAGCCGCGGUAAUACGGAGGAUGCGAGCGUUAUCCGGAUUUAUUGGGUUUAAAGGGUGCGUAGGUGGUUAAUUAAGUCAGCGGUGAAAGUUUGUGGCUCAACCAUAAAAUUGCCGUUGAAACUGGUUGACUUGAGUAUAUUUGAGGUAGGCGGAAUGCGUGGUGUAGCGGUGAAAUGCAUAGAUAUCACGCAGAACUCCGAUUGCGAAGGCAGCUUACUAAACUAUAACUGACACUGAAGCACGAAAGCGUGGGGAUCAAACAGGAUUAGAUACCCUGGUAGUCCACGCAGUAAACGAUGAUUACUAGCUGUUUGCGAUACACAGUAAGCGGCA